GUUCUGCCCUCUGACAUAAUCAAGAGCAACAGCUGUUUAGGACAGACCCACCACAGGACAAAGGGUGCAGAGCUGUCAGUAGUGACAAGCUGAAAACUGGACAACUGUGAUGAAGAUGGGAUGAAGAGCAGGGAAGCAUGCAUCUAUAUUAAAAAGUGAGUCACAUUACAUAUGUGGUUUUCAGGAAGGGAAUAGAACAGGAAACCCUCAUGCAAAUAGGAAGUUCUAGAUGGACAUUUAGAAGAGGAACUCUUACAAUGAAAAAUAAAUGAAACCAAACACACAGUACCUGAGAGAUAGGGAGAGAGAGAGAGAGAGAGAGAGAGAGAGAGAGAGAGAGAGAGAGAGAGAGAGAGGAAACAAGGGGGAGGGAGUCACACACCAAAAAAGGGCUUGAGCCAGAGCUGGAAUCAAUGCUUACUGGACAAACGGGAGACGCCACAGGAGAAGAAUAAGGCAACAACAGCAAAUGGUGCAAGAGAGAGAGAGAGAGAGAGAGAGAGAGAGAGAGAGAGAGAGAGAGAGAGAGAGAGAGAGAGAGAGUUGUGAGGGGCAUGAAAAACAACAGGGCAAACUAAAGACUGGGUAAGUGUAUUAAGUAUGUGCAGUAUGUUUUGAGGUAAGUGGUAGUGUACAUAUUUAUAAGGCUGGGUGAAAAGGGAGUGUCUUUUAUAUGAGGCUAUGGAAUAGAGCUGCAGCUGAGCACAUACUGUAAGCUGUGGUGUGCCACUAUGUCCACGGGCCCCGGGUCCCGAGAGGCCCCUCUGUCCAGAGAGAAGAUGCUGAAGGAGCCUGGUGUGACAGUGGGGAGCUCGGUUCAUAGUCCUGUGGGACUUCAGACGUUACUUGACCUGCUGGUUGGAGUCUACGAGGAGUUCCAGUGUUCCGAUACGACCAGAGAUAGAUACAUCAGACGCUUCCUGCAGUGGGCGGAACCUCUGGUGAGCCAAGUGAAGAAGACCCGCAUAAAAAGGGAUGAUUUCAACAUCUUAAAGGUGAUUGGCCGGGGGACCUUCAGUGAGGUCGCUGUGGCUAGAAUGCACAAUUCUCAACAGGUCUAUGCGCUGAAGAUAAUGAACAAAUGGGACAUGCUGAAGCGUGGAGAGACAGCAUGCUAUCAGGAGGAAAGGGAGGUUUUGCUAAAAGGGGAUCGUCGCUGGAUCACAGAGUUGCACUAUGCCUUCCAAGAUGACAAUUACCUUUACUUAGCAAUGGAUUACUAUGUUGGUGGAGACUUGCUGACAUUGCUUAGUAAAUUUGGUGACCAUAUUCCAGAAGACAUGGCUCAGUUUUACUUGGCAGAGAUGGUGAUGGCUAUUGACUCAGUCCACAGACUGGGCUAUGUCCACAGAGAUGUAAAGCCUGAUAACAUUCUGCUAACAGCAGAUGGACAUGUGCGACUGGGGGACUUUGGGUCAUGUUUAAGACUGCAUGAUGAUGGCUUGAUUCACUCCUCACUGGCUGUUGGUACUCCAGACUACCUGUCUCCCGAGAUCUUGCGAGCAGUAGAAGGUGGUGGAGGCUAUGGCAUAGAGUGUGACUGGUGGGCUCUUGGUGUGUGUGCAUAUGAAAUGCUACUGGGGACCACACCUUUCUAUGCAGAGUCAUUGUCUGAAACCUAUGCAAAAAUAAUCCACUUUCAGGAUUAUUUUGAGUUCCCUGCAUCUGCUGUGGAGAUUUCAGAGGAGGCACGUGCCCUCAUCACAGGUUUGCUAUGUGACAGGAAUGAGAGGCUGGGUAGAAAUGGCUCUGCAGAUUUCCGGAGUCAUCCUUUCUUCAGUGGGCUCGAGUGGAGUGUCCUGCACCAGUUGCCUGCUCCCUAUCGGCCUGAAGUCUCCAAUGCUACAGAUACUUCCAACUUUGAUGUGCUGGAUGACUGCCUCAGUGAAACAGAGACUCUGACUGAUGUAAUGGACAGAGCACCUAGAGGAAUUCACCUAGCAUUUGUUGGAUACUCUUAUACAGCUACCAGAGAAACAGGUGCUGUGGACCGCAGCCAAGACAUCAUGAUGGAGAUUGACCAGCAGCCAGUGCUUGAGUCUCUGUACCUGCCGGAGAAACUGAAUCAAGUGUGGCAGCUCAGGGAGCCUCAUGAGGUGUCAACACAGACAGAUUUUUCCCUGGCCCUUGAACACAGUACUGUAGAGCCAUCAACCACACCAGAUACAGAACAGAACAACACCCAACUCCAGGAGCUGCAGAGGCAACUGAGUGAGGCUGAGCAAAGAAACAGUGACCUGAAACAAGAAGUACAAACCCUUCAUGACGUGAUCCACAGACUCAAGGUCCAGCAGGACAAAGGAAUAGGCCACUGCGAGGUCUACACCAGCACAUGCCAAUCAAAGAGUGUGUGAAGCAGCUCCUCACCCAGGUCAUGUGACUAGAAUGCAGAGCACUGAACUACCUCUCACUGCCUCCUACUUUCACACCAACAAGCUAUUCAUCAAGAAAUGAACCCUACAGUAUCUUCUUACACUUUACAUGUGCGAAACAGGCACCAAGCUCUCACUUUCCAUUGUGCAUGCCACUGGACACAGGCAUGAAAAAGCAUGACCUUUCUCCUGUUGUGUGGCUUAGUGGCCUGUGCAUUCCUCUCUAAAGUGUAGUACCUAGUCAUGUAAGAAGGACACUUGUAUAUAUGUGUGUUUCCAUUUUCCACAGGACUGCACUAAUGGCUUUUUUCAUCUGAUCACAGAACUGUGUAUGUGCCCAUCACCUGUCUUUCUGCCUGCCUGCUGUUUGGAGCCUUUCAGGGAUAAUUCAUCAGUGCCCCCUGCCUGCCAUUACCCACUAGUGAGGCCUCUGCUGC